rnacentral:rRNA from 1 species
CCUACGGGAGGCAGCAGUGAGGAAUCUUGGUCAAUGGGCGGGAGCCUGAACCAGCAAAGUCGCGUGAGGGAAGACGGUCCUAUGGAUUGUAAACCUCUUUAGGCGGGGAGCAAUGCCGGGCACGCGUGCCCGGCGGGAGAGUACCCGCAGACUAAGCAUCGGCUAACUCAGUGCCAGCCGCCGCGGUAAGACGGAGGAUGCAGGCGGUAGCCGGAUUUACUGGGUGUAAGGGAAGUGUAUACGGUUAUGUAAGUCUGGAGUGAAAGCCCGGGGCCUAACCCCGGGACUGCUUUGGAAACUGGUUAACUGGAGUACAGGAGGGGCAGGCGGAAUUCCUGGUGUAGCGGUGAAAUGCGUAGAUAUCAGGAGGAACACCGGCGGCGAAGGCGGCCUGCUGGACUGAAACUGACGCUGAGGCUCGAAAGCGUGGGGAGCAAACAGGAUUAGAUACCCGUGUAGUC